rnacentral:rRNA from 1 species
AUUGAACGCUGGCGGCAUGCCUUACACAUGCAAGUCGAACGGUAACAGGUCUUCGGAUGCUGACGAGUGGCGAACGGGUGAGUAAUGCAUCGGAACGUGCCCAGUAGUGGGGGAUAGCCCGGCGAAAGCCGGAUUAAUACCGCAUACGACCUGAGGGUGAAAGGGGGGGAUCGCAAGACCUCUCGCUAUUGGAGCGGCCGAUGUCAGAUUAGCUAGUUGGUGGGGUAAAGGCCUACCAAGGCAACGAUCUGUAGUUGGUCUGAGAGGACGACCAGCCACACUGGGACUGAGACACGGCCCAGACUCCUACGGGAGGCAGCAGUGGGGAAUUUUGGACAAUGGGCGCAAGCCUGAUCCAGCAAUGCCGCGUGCAGGAAGAAGGCCUUCGGGUUGUAAACUGCUUUUGUCAGGGAAGAAAUCUUCUGGGUUAAUACCUCGGGAGGAUGACGGUACCUGAAGAAUAAGCACCGGCUAACUACGUGCCAGCCGCCGCCGUAACAC